AACGAACGCUGGCGGCAGGCCUAACACAUGCAAGUCGAGCGAGGUAGCAAUACCUAGCGGCGGACGGGUGAGUAACGCGUGGGAACGUGCCCUUUGCUACGGAAUAGCCUCGGGAAACUGGGAGUAAUACCGUAUGUGCUCUUCGGAGGAAAGAUUUAUCGGCAAAGGAUCGGCCCGCGUUGGAUUAGGUAGUUGGUGAGGUAACGGCUCACCAAGCCGACGAUCCAUAGCUGGUUUGAGAGGAUGAUCAGCCACACUGGGACUGAGACACGGCCCAGACUCCUACGGGAGGCAGCAGUGGGGAAUCUUAGACAAUGGGCGCAAGCCUGAUCUAGCCAUGCCGCGUGAGCGAUGAAGGCCUUAGGGUUGUAGAGCUCUUUCAGUGGGGAAGAUAAUGACUGUACCCACAGAAGAAGCCCCGGCUAACUCCGUGCCAGCAGCCGCCGUAA
rnacentral:rRNA from 1 species